UUAUGAAGCUGAAGGUCGUAGGGAACAGAGCAGUACAUUAUGAAGCUGAAGGUCGUAGGGAACAGAGCAGUAUGUAUGAAGCUGAAGGUCGUAGGGAACAGAGCAGUAUGUAUGAAGCUGAAGGUCGUAGGGAACAGAGCAGUACAUGAUGAAGCUGAAGGUCCUAGGGAACAGAGCAGUACGUUAUGAAGCUGAAGGUCCUAGGGAACAGAGCAGUACAUUAUGAAGCUGAAGGUCCUAGGGAACAGAGCAGUACAUUAUGAAGCUGAAGGUCCUAGGGAACAGAGCAGUACGUUAUGAAGCUGAAGGUCCUAGGGAACAGAGCAGUACAUUAUGAAGCUGAAGGUCCUAGGGAACAGAGCAGUACAUUAUGAAGCUGAAGGUCCUAGGGAACAGAGCAGUACGUUAUGAAGCUGAAGGUCUUAGGGAACAGAGCAGUACAUUAUGAAGCUGAAGGUCCUAGGGAACAGAGCAGUACAUGAUGAAGCUGAAGGUCGUAGGGAACAGAGCAGUACAUUAUGAAGCUGAAGGUCGUAGGGAACAGAGCAGUACAUUAUGAAGCUGAAGGUCGUAGGGAACAGAGCAGUAUGUAUGAAGCUGAAGGUCGUAGGGAACAGAGCAGUAUGUAUGAAGCUGAAGGUCGUAGGGAACAGAGCAGUACAUUCUUCCAUGCGUUUGUUAUUGGUGGAGCCUCCAUUUGCUGCCUGAUAUGUGUAGUUCACGUUAGGUUACGAUGUCAUGUUUUAACAUGUUUUUAGGAAAGACCGAGGCUUGCUAAGGUUUCUGUGUUAAGAUAUGUUUUUAUCUAUAUAAUCGAAACAAGAUGACAUUUUGGAGAAACGCUAUUUAAACAUUCCUUUUAAUAUGUUUCUAAUUUGUGAUCAUAAUAUUUGAGUUGUAUUAGUCGGUGUUCUCCUAGUCUUGGCGUUCUGAUGAGAGAGGUUGAACAGCUGUGGGUAUAUUCAGUAGGUACUGAACGGAAUAAAACAGAUUUAAAACAGACCCGGGAUUUAACCUGAACUUGUCUAAAAAGAAACGCUUUUUUUUUUUAUUUUUUUUUUGCAAAACUUGUUCCUUUGCAAAAUGUUUCGCUAAAUUGUGCACUACUGAAUAAAUAUACUGUGGCUGCAGUUUGACCCCCCCGGCCUGCAGAGGGCAUCGAUGAGUCAAUUUAUUAUACAGUAUUAUGUUUAAUCAUAUGUCCAUUCUCAUUAUGCAUCAACAGGAUUAUUGCUGCUGUCUUUUAUUCACAGUGUGUACUGAAUGAAAUAUCAUCGUUCACAUGUAUUUAUUUCAGCAUUUGAUUUGUUUUGAAUAUUAUUUAUUGAAUUCAAAUUUUAAAUGUUAAGUACACUACACUGACGAUAAAGUAUGUGGACACCUGCUCGUCACAACAUCUCGUUCCAAAAUCAUGGGCAUUAAUAUGGAGUUGGUCCCCCCCUUUGCUGCUAUAACAGCCUCCACUCUUCUGGGAAGGCUUUCCACUAGAUGUUGGAACAUUGCUGCUAUAACAUCCUCCAUUCUUCUGGGAAGGCUUUCCACUAGAUGUUGGAACAUUGCUGCUAUAACAUCCUCCAUUCUUCUGGGAAGGCUUUCCACUAGAUGUUGGAACAUUGCUGCGGGGACGUGGUUCCAUUCAGCCUCGAGAGCGUUAGUGAGGUUGGGCCCUGAUGAUGGGCGUUGAGGUCGGGCUCUGAUGUUGAGAGAUUAGGCCUGGCUCGCAGUCGGCGUUCCAAAUCAUCCCAAAGGUGUUCGAUGGGGUUGAGGUCAGGCCUCUGCAGGCCAGUCAAGUUCUUCCACACCGAUCUCGACAAACCAUUUCUUUAUGGAACUCGCUUUGUGCACGGUGGCAUUUGUCAUAUUGAAACAGGAAAGGGCCUUCCCCAAACUGUUGCCAACAUUUUGCAAGCACAGAAUCGUCUAGAAUAUCAUUGUAUGCUGUAGUGUUAACUUUUCCUUCACUGGAACUGAGGGGCCCAAACCAUGAAAAACAGCCCCAGACCAGUAUUCCUCCUCCACCAAACCUUACAGCUACGUUGGGGCAGGUAACGUUCUCCUGGCAUCCGCCAAACCCAGAUUCGUCCGUCGGACUGCCAGAUGGUGAAGCGUGACUCAUCACUCCAGAGAACGCGUUUCCACUGCUCAAAAGUCGGCGGACUUUACACCACUGCGGCCGACGCUUGGCAUUGCGCCUGGUGAUCUUAGGCUUGUGUGCGGCUGCUCGGCCGCGGAAACCCAUUUCAUGAAGCUCUGGAUGAACAGUUCUAGACAUGACGUUGCUUCCAGAGGCAGUUUGGAACUCUGAAUGUUGCAACCCGAGGACAGACGAUUCUUACGCGCUUCAGCACUCGGCAGUCCCGUUCUGUGAGCUUGUGUGGCCUACCACUUCACAGCUGAGCCGUUGUUGCUCCUAGACGUUUCCACUUCACAAAAACAGCACUUACUAGUUGACCGGGGGCAGCUCUAGCAGGGCAGAAAUUUGACGAACUGAAUUGUUGGAAAGGUGGCAUCCUAUGACGGUGCGCUACUGCCCAAAUGUUUGUCUAUGGAGAUUGCAUGGCUGUGUGCUCAAUUAUUAUAAUUUUUUUAAAUACAGUUCUGAACGGGUGUGGCUGAUAUGGCCAAAUCCACUAAUUUAAAAGGGUGUCCACAUACUUUUGUGUAUAUAAAGUGUAUAUCUUAUUUUGAUAUUGGUACCUUUGUGUUGUAAAUACUGGGUGGAUUCAAAGUUGUUCUUUUUUUCCAAAAUAAAUGUGUGCCCUGGACCACUCGGUAUGCUCCGUAA